rnacentral:lncRNA from 1 species
GACUUGAUCCAGACUUUAAUGCUUAAUCAAAUUGAGUUAAUUAGUGAUCUAAUCAUUAAUUAAUCUUUUAUUAAUGAUAGAAUCUCAGUCCAGUGGGACUCUUCACUAGAAUCUCUAUCCAGUAAGACUCUUCAGUAGAGUCUCCGUCUAGUGGGACUCUUCAUCAGAGUCUCAAUCCAGUGAGAGUCUUCAGAUUAGCCAU